AAAUGUAACAAAAACAUCUCUUCUUUUUUUAUGAUUGUUUUAGUUGGGAGACUUUUUUUUUCCUUUUCCAUUUUUUAUUAGGUAUUUAGCUCAUUUACAUUUCCAAUGCUAUACCAAAAGUCCCCCAUACCCACCCACCCCCACUCCCCUACCCACCCACUCCCCCUUUUUGGCCCUGGCGUUCCCCUGUACUGGGGCAUAUAAAGUUUGCGUGUCCAAUGGGCCUCUCUUUCCAGUGAUGGCCGACUAGGCCAUCUUUUGAUACAUAUGCAGCUAGAGUCAAGAGCUCCGGGGUACUGGUUAGUUCAUAAUGUUGUUCCACCUAUAGGGUUGCAGAUCCCUUUAGCUCCUUGGGUACUUUCUCUAGCUCCUCCAUUGGGAGCCCUGUGAUCCAUCCAUUAGCUGACUGUGAGCAUCCACUUCUGUGUUUGCCAGGCCCCGACAUAGUCUCACAAGAGACAGCUACAUCUGGGUCCUUUCGAUAAAAUCUUGCUAGUGUAUGCAAUGGUGUUAUAAGUACCGCGCGCUAACCGAUUGCGCCACUGGAGCUCCCAAAAACAUCUCUUAAUGUUGAUGCUGCCAGGGGCUACUUGAAUAAGUAAAUCAGGCUUGGGGCUGGAGUCUAUGUCCACUCUGGUAUCAGGAGUCACUGCUGUGCCUUCAUGGGGUUUCAUAAGACCAGUAUGCCUACUAAUGGAAGACUGAGGUUCCUGAAGAGAAGCCCCUGUCCACUGGGAAUCAGCACUUGUUGUCUUUUUAGGGGCGCUUAGCAUAACCUAGGUUCACUUGGGAAGAGGGACCCUCAAUUGAAGAGCUGCUUUGAUCAGGAUGCUAUGGCCAUGUCUGGGAGAGAUUGUUCAGACUGAUGAAUGACAUGAGCGGGGCCAACUCUAGGCAGGUGGACCUGGCCUUUAUAAGAAAGCUAUGAGCCACUUAGGGAUCUGGUAAGUACUGUCUCCUUAGUUUCUGCUUCAGUCCCCGCCCUGAAUUCCUUCAGUCAUGGACCGUAACCUGGAAGCAUAAGCCAAGUAGAUCUCUUCUUCCUGCAUCCAGUCAGAGUAGAAGAGCAAAAUACAGCGCUCAUCUUCUACGGGUAGACAGCAAGCAGGAUGCUCACUCCAUGGCAGCCCUGGAACAAGGCCACACUGUUGGGUCCUUGCUCACUUCCUCCCAACCACCAUGCCAGGGGAGUCCCCUACAUGCUGGUGGUCCCCUGCAGUAGUUCAUGUCCCCAGCAGACACAGAGGGAACACUAAGCUUUUCUUGGAUAGCUCCGCUGCCCACAGAGCUCUCUUUUCUCAUCUUCCUUCCUACCUCUCUGCUUUCUAGCCUCUGACCAGCAACCUGAGCAAGGAUCAUACUGCCUAAGCCUUUCCCAUGUGAAUGUUGGUGCUCCUUCCAGAGAGGAUUUCCAGUGAUACUGAACCCCCUCCCAGGGUCACCCCUUAACUGGAAUAUGGAGUGGCCGGCUGACUUUUGGGUUGAUAUUUACAUAUGCAGAGAUGCUGCCCUGUUAAGAACCUGUGUAAAUGCUUUCACUGGAGAAAGACAGUCACCUUGCGACAGAGUUCCACAAGCACUCAGAAUUUCCUGCUUCAGAACCUCGUAAGCUGACAAGUUCGAGAGACGGUCUCUAUGCGUUGGUAGUGAGAGAUGAAAGAGAUGCUUCAUCUCUACGUUCACACUGAAACCACCUCACAGGUUUGCCUGUCUGGAAAAGCCUCUGAAAGAAGUGAGGAGGGGCUAGCCUGGUUUUGCACAUUUACCAUUUGGUUAUUUUUGUUUGUUUGUUUGGUUGGUUUGGUUUUUGCUUUUGUUUAUUCAAGACAAGGUCUCUCUGUGUAGCCCUGGCUGUCCUGGAACUCACUCUGUAGACCAAGCUGGCCUUGAAUUCACAGAAUUCUGCCUGCCUCUGCCUCCCAAGUGCUGGGAUUAAAAGUGUACACCCCCA